rnacentral:rRNA from 1 species
UACAGAGGGGGCAAGCGUUGUUCGGAAUUACUGGGCGUAAAGGGCGCGUAGGCGGCCUGUUAAGUCGAACGUGAAAUCCCUGGGCUCAACCCAGGAACUGCGUCCGAUACUGGCAGGCUUGAAUCCGGGAGAGGGAUGUGGAAUUCCAGGUGUAGCGGUGAAAUGCGUAGAUAUCUGGAGGAACACCGGUGGCGAAGGCGGCAUCCUGGACCGGUAUUGACGCUGAGGCGCGAAAGCUAGGGGAGCAAACGGG